CGUGCGGGGGAGAAGAGAAAAGGAGGGCUGCGGCGUCGGAGGCCGACCGCCGGAGGCUCGAAAUGCAGGCAGCGGCGGCAACGGCUCCAACGGCAGCGAGGAGCGGCGGAAUCGCGCGAAGGGCAGCGACUUCCGGAGGCCAUUCCAGCCGUUUCCGGCGGCCUCGUCGGCUGUUUCCGGUGGCGAUCGGCUCCUCUCGGCGAGGGCUCUCUUUUGGCACCAGCGGCGACGCCUGUGGUGGUCGGAGACGGAAGAUCCGGCGAAGUGAAAUUAGGGGGGACAGCCGGCAUUUUUCAGCUUUUCCGGCGAGCUCCGGCAGAGGAUAGAUGAUCGGAGGACAUAUCCCGACUCUCCUCAGCUCAAGCUUCGCAAUGGCACUAGUUUCGUGGCGAUCGGACUUCGUUUGCAUAUCGACGGCCGAGAUCAUCCGCAAAUCGCUCCGGAUGAUCGGGGGUCGGAUCAAAAAAUCGGAAGCGGGGAUCGUCAUCAGUGCAUCGUUUUGAGUCCGAUGGUAUGUUCGGAUCAUCGAUCGGACUCCGGCGGCUGGAGGCGAGUCGACCGAGCGAUCAAGCGUCUCGAUAAUCUGUUCGUUCGGCUCGCUCCAACCGAGGCACCGGAGCAGAGCUAGGAGGUUGCCAAAGCUCAAUGGCUAUUGAAGAAUCUUCUGGUCUAACUUUCAAGAAUGAUGAUCAAAGCAGUGGGUAUUACAUUCAUCCAAAUGAAAAUCCUUCUUUGAUGUUAACUUCUUCACAAUUGAAUGGAAGGAAUUAUCAUAGUUGGGCAAGAUCUAUGAAGAUGUCUUUAAUUUCGAAGAAUAAGUUUCAGUUCAUUGAUGGUUCCAUUAAAGUUCCCAAAGAUGAUGAUCCUUUUUAUAGUGCUUGGACAAAAUACAAUAAUCUUGUAUUGUCAUGGCUGCAAAGAGCUCUUAAUGUAGAAAUUGGACAAAGUGUGAUGUGGUUAGAUUAUGCAUAUGAUUUAUGGGCAGACUUACAUGAUUGUUUUUCUCAAGGUGAUCUCAUUAGAAUCUCAGAUCUUCAAUAAGAAUCUUUUUCUCUACAGCAAGGUACUCUUUCUGUUACAGCAUAUCAUACACAGUUGAAGAUUUUAUGGGAUGAGAUAUGCAAUUUAAGGCCUUUGCCUGCUUGUGAUUGUGUUGUUUUUAAAUACAGAAAAUAAGAUUUCAUUCUGAAAUUUCUAAAAGGUAUUAAUGAGAAUUUCUCUGUUCAAAAAUCUUAAGUUCUUAUGAUGAAGCCUAUGCCUCCUGUCAAUAAAAUCUUUUCUAUUCUUAUACAACAUGAGAGAACUUUGAAUGGUAAUGUUUUUAUUCCUGAUUCUAAUAUCUUGUUUGCUGGGAAGUUUAAUGCAAAUUCUGGACAUAGGUCUAUUAGAUCAAAUUUUGGUUUUAAUCAAAGUAGAGGUAAUGUGAUGAAUGGUUUUAAGCCUCAUCCUAUGAAUCAACAGUUUGUUUCUGGUCCAAGAAAGUUCUUUGCAAAUCCAAAUUCUGGCAAACUUUCAAGCAAUGGAAAUAAGCCUACCUGUACAAAUUGUGGAAUAUAUGGUCAAUCUGUGGACAAAUGUUAUAGACUUCGUGGAUUUCCACUAGUAUAUAAGAAUACAA